AACGAACGCUGGCGGCAGGCCUAACACAUGCAAGUCGAACGAUGAAACCUAGCUUGCUAGGUGGAUUAGUGGCGCACGGGUGAGUAACGCGUGGGAAUGUACCCUUUGGUGCGGAAUAGCCCCGGGAAACUGGGAAUAAUACCGCAUAAUAACUCCGGUUCAAAGAUUUAUCGCCAGGGGAUCGGCCCGCGUGACAUUAGCUUGUUGGUAAGGUAACGGCUUACCAAGGCUACGAUGUCUAGCUGGUCUGAGAGGAUGAUCAGCCACACUGGAACUGAGACACGGUCCAGACUCCUACGGGAGGCAGCAGUGGGGAAUAUUGGACAAUGGGCGCAAGCCUGAUCCAGCCAUGCCGCGUGAGUGAAGAAGGCCUUAGGGUUGUAAAGCUCUUUCAGAAGUGAAGAUAAUGACGGUAGCUUCAGAAGAAGCCCCGGCUAACUUCG
rnacentral:rRNA from 1 species